rnacentral:tRNA from 1 species
CAGGGCGUAGCUCAGUAAGCAGAGCAGCUGGCUUAUAUCCAGCGUUGGCGGGGGUUCGAGUCCUUCCGUUCCGA